ACUCCUACGGGAGGCAGCAGUGGGGAAUAUUGGACAAUGGGCGCAAGCCUGAUCCAGCCAUGCCGCGUGUGUGAAGAAGGCCUUUUGGUUGUAAAGCACUUUAAGCGAGGAGGAGGCUACUUGGAUUAAUACUCUAGGAUAGUGGACGUUACUCGCAGAAUAAGCACCGGCUAACUCUGUGCCAGCAGCCGCGGUAAUACA
rnacentral:rRNA from 1 species